rnacentral:rRNA from 1 species
UACGAAGGGGGGCUAGCGUUGCUCGGAAUCACUGGGCGUAAAGCGCACGUAGGCGGCUUCUUAAGUCAGGGGUGAAAUCCUGGAGCUCAACUCCAGAACUGCCUUCGAUACUGUAGAGCUUGAGUUCGGGAGAGGUGAGUGGAACUGCGAGUGUAGAGGUGAAAUUCGUAGAUAUUCGCAAGAACACCAGUGGCGAAGGCGGCUCACUGGCCCGAUACUGACGCUGAGGAGCGAAAGCCAGGGGGAGCAAACGGG